UUGGGUAACUGAGUCAUAACCGUCGUAACUGGGAUCGGGGCUUGCAAUUGUUCCCUGUGAACGAGGAAUUCCUGGUAAGUGCAAGUCAUAAGCUUGCGCUGAUUACGUCCCUGCCCUUUGUACACACCGCCGUCGCUACUACCGAUUGAAUGGUUUAGCAAGGUAAUCGGAUUGGUGACAUUGUAGUGGCUUCGGCCGCUCAAAUGACGCUGAGAAGAUGACCAAAGUUGAUCAUUUAGAGGAAGUAAAAGUCGUAACAAGGUUUCCGUAGGUGAACCUGC
rnacentral:rRNA from 1 species